GGAAUUGCCAGGCUCCCAGAUUCAGAUAGCUUCUCUGGUCUGAUCCAUUUCAAAAGAAGCUCUUUCAGGUAGACGUAAAGCUCUCAAGGUGUCGUGCCAGACAAGAUGUCUGUAGUGUGGAACUUCUGACGAUCACAGCUUGGGAUUGGUGGGGCCAGUCGCACUAAAGAGCUGCAGCUGCAUCAUCCAGGAGGUCUUGGACUGCGCUGACCCCAGGAUGUCCUGAGUGGAGGCCGAUGAAAAAUCGUCGCUAUGACGCAAAACGACACUGAUUCAAACCAGAGGGAGCAGAUUACCGGCUCUACACAGACAACUGGCCCUGGUCUAGGCUCCUGUGGCCGACCAGCACUUGAAUGUCAAUAAAUCUCAGUUAGACACUGACCACAAGAAUAAUAUUUCUUCCAAUUAGUUAAUGGAUUCAGGCAACAGUAUUUUAUAAUAUUCCUUUUUUCAUAAUAUCAUCAUGAGAAUCAGCAGGAUUGCACAAUUGUAUGUUCAUGAUCAUAAAAUUUCACGGUGGAACAAGUGUUACAUUGAACACACAGUGCUCCAGAAUAGUAAAAAGUGAAACAGUUUUGGUUGAGCUAAACCCAUCUGACUAUAUGUGCGUCGAGGUCACUGUCACACACACUAUUCUCCUCUGAAUGGUCUUUUGCAUUUCCCUUCACUGUCCAAUGCCCAGAGCAUCAUGUGAUCACAGCGAGUAAUCAGAUAUGGUUUCCUCCACCCUCACUGAGACAAGGCCUGUGUGUUUCUGUGUGCGUGUGUGUCUCUGUGUGUGUUCUUGUGUGUGUGCAUGAGUGUGUGUGUGCAUGAG